AUAACAAGGAACCACACUGAAGGAUCGACCAUACACCCUGAAGCUCGUCUGCGUUUAUAAUGAACAUCCAACGGUUCAGUAUGUUACUAUAAGCUUUCCGUAUCGAAAUAAAUUCAACGCGAGUGAAAAGUUCCUCCGGUUUGCUAUUGUUAAUAACUUUCAGCGGAAUCGUCGGCAUGAUACAACGAAACGUAUGAAAAAAACAUCAUCAAAAAUAGCAUAUAAACGUUAUUACGGCAUUACUACGGGACAACGUAGGAAAGGAAACUGAUGGGUUUUCGUUACCUGGAGGCGUAUCACUUGAUCGUUUUUUGUGGCUGGACGAAGCAGAUGCUGUAAACAGUGAAUACCAAUUGCUCAGCUUUAAUCCAUCGAAGGAAAUAACACUAACAAACAACAAAAGUGUUGCUAGUGAAUAACACGCUUCCAAACAAUAAUGAAAAUCCCGCAUGGGCCAUUAUGGGCCGAAGUCAACAAGCGCAGACGAGAGAUAUGGGGAAAGAUGUCUUCAAAGUCUUCAGUAUUUAUUUACUAUAAAUACCAUGUUUAUUCAUUGCAAAAUAUGAACUAGGUGAUCAACCGGUUCCACUUGGUGUUAGCCUUCAAGCUCGAUAUGUGGCUCUCCGCAUUAACAGCUACUGCAACGCUUCCAUUUAUUUGUUGGUUAUUUUCCAGGUAUUUAUAUGUACAUAUAUUGUGUUCCUA